rnacentral:hammerhead_ribozyme from 1 species
AUACAGUUGAGGAGUCCCGACUAGGACGAAACGCGCGUCCUGCAU